rnacentral:rRNA from 1 species
UGAGGAACAUGACCUUCGGCGGGGGAUAGCCGGCCCAACGGCCGGGUAAUACCGCGUACGACCACUUUGGGACAUCCCUCGGUGGUGAAAGCAGCAAUGCGCCGAUGGAGUGCCUCGCGGCCUAUCAGCUAGUUGGUGAGGUAACGGCUCACCAGGGNACGACGGGUAGCUGGUCUGAGAGGAUGGCCAGCCACAUUGGGACUGAGACACGGCCCAGACUCCUACGGGAGCA